rnacentral:rRNA from 1 species
GAUGAACGCUGGCGGCGUGCCUAAUACAUGCAAGUCGAGCGAACGGACGAGAAGCUUGCUUUUCUGAUGUUAGCGGCGGACGGGUGAGUAACACGUGGAUAACCUACCUAUAAGACUGGGAUAACUUCGGGAAACCGGAGCUAAUACCGGAUAAUAUUUUGAACCGCAUGUUUCAAAAGUGAAAGACUGUCUUGCUGUCACUUAUAGCUGGAUCCGCGCUGCAUUAGCUAGUUGGUAAGGUAACGGCUUACCAAGGCAACGAUGCAUAGCCGACCUGAGAGGGUGAUCGGCCACACUGGAACUGAGACACGGUCCAGACUCCUACGGGAGGCAGCAGUAGGGAAUCUUCCGCAAUGGGCGAAAGCCUGACGGAGCAACGCCGCGUGAGUGAUGAAGGUCUUCGGAUCGUAAAACUCUGUUAUUAGGGAAGAACAUAUGUGUAAGUAACUGUGCACAUCGUGACGGUACCUAAUCAGAAAGCCACGGCUAACUACGUG